GUCUCUAUAUUAACUUCCUAUCGUAUGCACAGAAUUUAAUCGGUAUUAACCGGUUAACAUGAUCAUAUGUUUUUUCUUUAUGUUUUAGUGUUUUUAAUAUUAAUGCAUGCAUUUGUACUUUUAAUGUCGGCUAUUUCGCAAAUGAAUUCAUAUUAUGGUGUUGGCAUGCCUCAAGACUGGUUUACUUUAUUUGAGAAAUUGUAUUUGCCUCGAACUAGAGUAUGUCCCCAACAUGUUUAUCUGGUCCGCGGUAGAAAACAAUAAAAAAAAACAAAAACUAUAGCACCUGUAAACGGAGUGCGAACUAGCCGCCCGAAUUUACAUGCACCACUUAACGUUAAAGUCUUUAACAAAAAUAUUUUUUUCAUUUUUUUGAUUUUUUUGGAGGGAUGAUAUUUUGUGAAUACGAUUUAAGAUAAUUAUUUGGAAGUCACACUCUAUGUAAUUAUGUGGUGAAAUAACAGUUCUUGAUUUAAUAGAUGGUAUAAGUAAGUACAUUGUAGUUAUACAACCGGAACAGGGUUUGUAGAUGUUUGUUAUUGCGUAUUGGUAUAACACUG
rnacentral:lncRNA from 1 species